GAUGAACGCUGGCGGCGUGCCUAAUACAUGCAAGUCGAGCGAACAGACGAGGAGCUUGCUCCUCUGACGUUAGCGGCGGACGGGUGAGUAACACGUGGAUAACCUACCUAUAAGACUGGGAUAACUUCGGGAAACCGGAGCUAAUACCGGAUAAUAUAUUGAACCGCAUGGUUCAAUAGUGAAAGACGGUUUUGCUGUCACUUAUAGAUGGAUCCGCGCCGCAUUAGCUAGUUGGUAAGGUAACGGCUUACCAAGGCGACGAUGCGUAGCCGACCUGAGAGGGUGAUCGGCCACACUGGAACUGAGACACGGUCCAGACUCCUACGGGAGGCAGCAGUAGGGAAUCCUGCGCAAUGGGCGAAAGCCUGACGGAGCAACGCGGCGUGAGUGAUGAAGGUCUUCGGAUCGUAAAACUCUGUUAUUAGGAAAGAACAAAUGUGUAAGUAACUAUGCACAUCUUGACGGUACCUAAACAGAAAGCCACGGCUAACUACGUG
rnacentral:rRNA from 1 species